UACGUAGGUGGAAAGCGUUGUCCGGAAUUAUUGGGCGUAAAGCGCGCGCAGGCGGCCUCUUAAGUCUGAUGUGAAAGCCCCCGGCUCAACCGGGGAGGGCCAUUGGAAACUAGGAGGCUUGAGUAUAGGAGAGAAGAGUGGAAUUCCACGUGUAGCGGUGAAAUGCGUAGAGAUGUGGAGGAACACCAGUGGCGAAGGCGACUCUUUGGCCUAUAACUGACGCUGAGGCGCGAAAGCGUGGGGAGCAAACAGG
rnacentral:rRNA from 1 species